AGUGAACGCUGGCGGUAGGCCUAACACAUGCAAGUCGAACGGCAGCACAGUAAGAGCUUGCUCUUACGGGUGGCGAGUGGCGGACGGGUGAGGAAUACAUCGGAAUCUACUUUUUCGUGGGGGUUAACGUAGGGAAACUUACGCUAAUACCGCAUACGACCUACGGGUGAAAGCAGGGGAUCUUCGGACCUUGCGCGAUUGAAUGAGCCGAUGUCGGAUUAGCUAGUUGGCGGGGUAAAGGCCCACCAAGGCGACGAUCCGUAGCUGGUCUGAGAGGAUGAUCGGCCACACGGGAACUGAGACAGGGUCCAGGCUCCUAAGGGAGGCAGCAGUGGGGAAUAUUGGACAAUGGGCGGAAGCCUGAUCCAGCCAGACCGCGUGGGUGAAGAAGGCCUUCGGGUUGUAAAGACCUUUUGUUGGGAAAGAAAAGCAGCAGGUUAAUACCCCGCUGUUCUGACGGUACCCAAAGAAUAAGCACCGGCUAACUUCGUG
rnacentral:rRNA from 1 species